rnacentral:tRNA from 1 species
AGCGCGCGGGCAGGUCGGUGAUGCACCUGGCGGCAAACCAGGCUUGAGGCCGGUUCGACUCCGGCGCGCGCUUCCA